GUAGGGAAUCUUGCGCAAUGGGCGAAAGCCUGACGCAGCCAUGCCGCGUGAAUGAUGAAGGUCUUAGGAUUGUAAAAUUCUUUCACCGGGGACGAUAAUGACGGUACCCGGAGAAGAAGCCCCGGCUAACUUCGUGCCAGCAGCCGCGGUAAUACGAAGGGGGCUAGCGUUGCUCGGAAUUACUGGGCGUAAAGGGAGCGUAGGCGGAUAGUUUAGUCAGAGGUGAAAGCCCAGGGCUCAACCUUGGAAUUGCCUUUGAUACUGGCUAUCUUGAGUACGGGAGAGGUGAGUGGAACUCCGAGUGUAGAGGUGAAAUUCGUAGAUAUUCGGAAGAACACCAGUGGCGAAGGCGACUCACUGGCCCGUUACUGACGCUGAGGCGCGAAAGCGUGGGGAGCAAACAGGAUUAGAAACCCCUGUAGUCC
rnacentral:rRNA from 1 species